UGCUUUACGGCACAGACACACCCCCAAACAUGGCACCGGCUAGAUAUAAACAGCCAGUUGCGAGCAUGGUUGCGAGGCAAUUGUUGUCCGAGGUAGGAAACCCAAACGCCGCCGUGUUUGGAGUUUAGAUUGGGUUAGAUUAAAUAAUCUCGGAUAUAAAUAACGAUCUCAUCUCAUCGUCAUCCGUUUAUCCGGGGUCGGGUCGCGGGGGGAGCAGCUCAAGCAGGGGGCUCCAGACUUCCCUUUCCCGGGCCGCAUUGACCAGCUCUGACGGGGGGAUCCCGAGGCGUUCCCAGGCCAGUGUUGAGAUAUAAUCUCUCCACCUAGUCCUGGGUCUUCCCCGAGGUCUCCUCCCCAAUGGACGUGCCUGAAACACCUCCAAAGGGAGGCGCCCAGUAGGCAUCCUUGCCAGAUGCCCGAACCACCUCA
rnacentral:lncRNA from 1 species